rnacentral:rRNA from 1 species
UACAGAGGUGGCAAGCGUUGUUCGGAAUUACUGGGCGUAAAGGGCGAGUAGGCGGCCUUCUAAGUCAGACGUGAAAUCCCCCGGCUUAACCUGGGAACUGCGUCUGAUACUGGGAGGCUAGAGUAUGGGAGAGGGAUGUGGAAUUCCAGGUGUAGCGGUGAAAUGCGCAGAUAUCGGGAGGAACACCAAUUGCGAAGGCAGCUCGCUGGGACGUCACUGACGCUGAGACGCGAAAGCGUGGGGAGCAAACAGG